AAAUACAUCUUUUAGACGUAAGUUCCUUCCAAUGUGUUUAUCUCCCACAUGAGUUUAUCGCCAUUUCCUACCAUUACAGACUCGUUCCCUUUAAAAGGAGUUGAAUUUAAGAGAGUACCUUUAGAUUGUACCAUGUGAUUGCUAGCACCAGAAUCCAUAUAGAGAUUGUUGUCAAUUUGAUCACUAAACGACAUUGAUGCUAACGCCUGAGGUACUUCUUGUUGUGCUUGAUAUGAGCAGUCCCAUCUGUAAAAACAAGAGAAUGUUGUAUGGUUGUUCCUACCAC
rnacentral:lncRNA from 1 species